GCACUUAAUAAAGUCACCGUGGCCAAGUGCGUUCCCUUCAACUCCUGAAUCUCCCCCAUCUGUGUCUAGGCUGGGAUUUUACAGACAGGAAACAAGGCUCAGAGACGGAAGGCAGCUUAGCCAAGGCUACACAGCCAGAGAGGGAAAGAGGCAGGACUCCAGCCCAGAGCUCCUGAUCCCAAGGCUGAGCUCCUUCCAGCUGCCACGGCGAUGCUCUUGCUCAGCAAGCGCAGCUGUCUGGGGCUUGCAGCCCAGUGCAGGGAAUGUCCAGGGCACCGCCAGCGUCCCCCACCGGCCCAACUUCCCAGCUCUCUGGAAGGGAGCAAGAUCUACCGCCUACCCCCGGACACACAGAUGCUAUGAAAAGCACUACGAAAGUUCGAAGACAGGAAGGAUGAUCGUCUCUGCACGCACUGCCUCUGCUGGGGCUGCUGUUGGCACCUCUCCGGCUCUGGGGACAUUCCCAUUCACUAGCUAACACCUCGGCUGGACGUUGUCCGAGCAAUUCGUUCCUGACAGACGGCUCUGGUGCCAACGCUCAUCAGUCCCUUCCUCCACUGUCCUAGUUGUGCUUCCUACAUCUCUCCAGGGUGGCCGGGACAUGUGUGCUUCUGGAUCCUUGUCCAGGCCAGGAAUGUCCCAAGGCCACGGUCUUGCUCACGGUGCUUUGACUCCUGGUGGCACGCUCGCGUGGAUGCUGAUCCAACAGUGGCUGAAUAUGUGACUUGGUGAGCGUGGGGGAUCUGGGAGGUGAGUCUCUGUCUCUCUCUGCAUACAUAACCUUUGUAAAAUGUAUAAGAGAAAGAACUUUAGAAGCCUCCUGGGCACCCUUGUAUAAGCAGAGCUUUGGGGACUAGGGAAGAGGAGCUGUCCCCACAUGGAGGAGGCGAGGGAGGAGACAGCAUUGCAGGAGAUGCACUGGGAGGGUAGGGUGGCCAGAGUCACCCUGAGAUGGACAAAGCCCUCUUGGGAGCCCAUGGAAGCUCUUAGCAGGACUCCCCACUGCCCUCAGAUGUAGGCUUGAGCCGCCUUAAGGGGAAAUUAAGGAAGAGGCAGGAAGAGUGGGGUGACCAAGCUACAGUCACUAGGGUUACAAGCUGGGACCCCUCAAUGUCUCUGUGUCCCCCAGAGCUCAUGUCCUCUGCCGGCCUCGAUCUCACACGCAGGCUCUCUCUGCCUGUCACACCUGCUCUUUCUCCUCUUUCUGAGAUUUUUCUCAGUCGGGCCCAAUGCACAUUUAUUGAGGGGCUACUAUAGGCCACCUCUGAGAAAGCCUUACUGAUUGCCGAUCGUCUCCCCAGGCUGGCUCAGGUGCCCUUUGCCAUUCACCCCAUCCCCUGCUCAGCUGUCCUCGGCCUUUGAGCUGGGGUGGCCAGCCUGUGAGCUCCUUGUACCUGGCCAUGGCCUAGUACAGGGCACAAGUUUAGUAGGUGCCUGUUGGCUGAUGAGGGGCUGCAAGAGACAUACUGGAUUCUCCCAAGUUGAAAUCCACAACCCAUGUUGUGAGAAGCCCUUUGCCCAGUGGGAGGGCUUCUCUGCCCUCAUCAGUCAUGAUGGGCUUUGAGAACACGAGAUGCGCAGCAGUGGGGUUCACUCCAUCUCCAGGAUAUGCAAAGGCCACACUUGCCCUUCCGCCCCACUGUGAAAUCAGAGGUAGUGAAAGCAGCUAAUUGGCAGGGACAUGGGGACAUUCCACAUCGGAAAUGGGUCCUUGGCUCCAUUUGCCAGGAAGGUUGCAAAGUGGAUACAGGAACUUUCUGACUCCAGAGGAAUAGAUACAAAAUCACCAAACAGAUGGCCUCCCCAAUCCUCUCACUUCCCCACCAGGAUCCCAUUUCUGUCAUCUUGCAACAAUACAGAAUUUAUAGACAUCUUCCUUUCCUGCAAAGGAAAAUGAAGUCUGAGAAACACACCAUGUCCUUAAUAUGACAUUUCUCUUUCCCAAGGGUCCCCUCUGUGUCCUGUGGAACACUCAGUCCACGUCAGCUGCUGGGCCCAGAUGGGCCCUGUCUUCCAGGCAGCGGUCAGCACAGGAAGUGAAGAAUUUGCCUCCUCUCCUGACCCCACUCUGAGGUCACUUUGAGGUCUAUGAGAUCAAGGGUCUUGGGGGGGGCGGUUCCAGAGUGAGAACUGGAGAUGAAUUUUAGUUCAGCCACUGGUCUGAAGGAACACAGUGGUGAGUUAUAAGAUCUUGUUCACUAGUGUCUCCUCUUCAUAAAAUGAAGCAGUAAUACUCUCAGAAUUGUCUGAGGAUUCAAGCCCCAAAUUACCCAAAGUAUGGGUCUAACACAUAAAUAAUAUGUAAUAAACUCUGCUUCUCCUUCCCUUUCA
rnacentral:lncRNA from 12 species